UACGGGGGGGGCAAGCGUUGUUCGGAAUUACUGGGCGUAAAGGGCUCGUAGGCGGCCAACUAAGUCAGACGUGAAAUCCCUCGGCUUAACCGGGGAACUGCGUCUGAUACUGGAUGGCUUGAGGUUGGGAGAGGGAUGCGGAAUUCCAGGUGUAGCGGUGAAAUUCGUAGAUAUUCGGAGGAACACCAGUGGCGAAGGCGGCUCACUGGCUCGAUACUGACGCUGAGGUGCGAAAGCGUGGGGAGCAAACAGG
rnacentral:rRNA from 1 species